AACAGGAUUAGAUACCCUGGUAGUCCACGCCGUAAACGAUGUCGAUUUGGAGGUUGUGCCCUUGAGGCGUGGCUUCCGGAGCUAACGCGUUAAAUCGACCGCCUGGGGAGUACGGCCGCAAGGUUAAAACUCAAAUGAAUUGACGGGGGCCCGCACAAGCGGUGGAGCAUGUGGUUUAAUUCGAUGCAACGCGAAGAACCUUACCUGGUCUUGACAUCCACAGAACUUUCCAGAGAUGGAUUGGUGCCUUCGGGAACUGUGAGACAGGUGCUGCAUGGCUGUCGUCAGCUCGUGUUGUGAAAUGUUGGGUUAAGUCCCGCAACGAGCGCAACCCUUAUCCUUUGUUGCCAGCGGUCGGCCGGGAACUCAAAGGAGACUGCCAGUGAUAAACUGGAGGAAGGUGGGGAUGACGUCAAGUCAUCAUGCCCUUACGACCAGGGCUACACACGUGCUAC
rnacentral:rRNA from 1 species